rnacentral:rRNA from 1 species
AUACGGAGGCUGCAAGCGUUAAUCGGAAUUACUGGGCGUAAAGCGCGCGUAGGCGGUUUAGUCAGUCAGAUGUGAAAGCCCCGGGCUCAACCUGGGAACUGCAUUUGAUACUGCUGAACUAGAGUAUGGUAGAGGGAAGUGGAAUUCCGGGUGUAGCGGUGAAAUGCGUAGAUAUCCGGAGGAACACCAGUGGCGAAGGCGACUUCCUGGACCAAUACUGACGCUGAGGUGCGAAAGCGUGGGUAGCAAACAGGAUUAGAAACCCUAGUAGUCC